rnacentral:rRNA from 1 species
CACGUAGGGUGCGAGCGUUGUCCGGAAUUAUUGGGCGUAAAGAGCUCGUAGGCGGUGUGUCGCGUCGGCCGUGAAAGCCUGCAGCUUAACUGUGGGCUUGCGGUCGAUACGGGCAUCACUGGAGUUCGGCAGGGGAGACUGGAAUUCCUGGUGUAGCGGUGAAAUGCGCAGAUAUCAGGAGGAACACCGGUGGCGAAGGCGGGUCUCUGGGCCGAUACUGACGCUGAGGAGCGAAAGCGUGGGGAGCGAACAGG